rnacentral:rRNA from 1 species
UACGGAGGGUGCGAGCGUUAAUCGGAAUUACUGGGCGUAAAGCGCACGCAGGUGGCUGAGUCAGUCGAUUGUGAAAGCCCUGGGCUUAACCUGGGAAUUGCAGUCGAUACUACUCAGCUAGAGUAUGGGAGAGGGUAGUGGAAUUCCCGGUGUAGCGGUGAAAUGCGUAGAUAUCGGGAGGAACAUCAGUGGCGAAGGCGGCUACCUGGCCCAAUACUGACACUCAGGUGCGACAGCGUGGGGAGCAAACAGG